GACGAACGCUGGCGGCGUGCUUAACACAUGCAAGUCGAACGGAAAGGCCCUGCUUUUGUGGGGUGCUCGAGUGGCGAACGGGUGAGUAACACGUGAGUAACCUGCCCUUGACUUUGGGAUAACUUCAGGAAACUGGGGCUAAUACCGGAUAGGAGCUCCUGCUGCAUGGUGGGGGUUGGACAGUUUCGGCGGUUGGGGAUGGACUCGCGGCUUAUCAGCUUGUUGGUGGGGUAGUGGCUUACCAAGGCAUUGACGGGUAGCCGGCCUGAGAGGGUGACCGGCCACAAUGGGACUGAGAGACGGACCAGACUCCUACGGGAGGCAGCAGGGGGGAAUAUUGUACAAUGGGCGGAAGCCUGAUGCAGCAACGCCGCGUGCGGGAUGACGGCCUUCGGGUUGUAAACCGCUUUCGCCUGUGACGAAGCGUGAGUGACGGUAAUGGGUAAAGAAGCACCGGCUAACUACGUG
rnacentral:rRNA from 1 species